UACGUAGGCUGGAAAUUAAGUCAGUAGUGAAAUCCCACAGCUUAACUGUGGAACUGUUAUUGAUACUGGUUUUCUUGAAUAUAGUUGAGGUAGGCGGAAUGUGUAAUGUAGCGGUGAAAUGCUUAGAUAUUACACAGAACACCGAUUGCGAAGGCAGCUUACUAAGCUAUGAUUGACGCUGAGGUACGAAAGCGUGGGGAGCGAACAGGAUUAGAUACCCUGGUAGUCC
rnacentral:rRNA from 1 species